rnacentral:rRNA from 1 species
CAGUAGCCACGGUAAUACGGAGGGAGCUAGCGUUAUUCGGAAUUACUGGGCGUAAAGCGCACGUAGGCGGCUUUGUAAGUAAGAGGUGAAAGCCCGGAGCUCAACUCCGGAACUGCCUUUUAGACUGCAUCGCUUGAAUCCAGGAGAGGUGAGUGGAAUUCCGAGUGUAGAGGUGAAAUUCGUAGAUAUUCGGAAGAACACCAGUGGCGAAGGCGGCUCACUGGACUGGUAUUGACGCUGAGGUGCGAAAGCGUGGGGAGCAAACAGGAUUAGAUACCCCCGUAGUCCCUGUCUCUUAUAA